rnacentral:rRNA from 1 species
UACGGGGGGGGUAAGCGUUGUUCGGAAUUACUGGGCAUAAAGGGCUCGUAGGCGGCCAACUAAGUCAUACGUGAAAUCCCUCAGCUUAACUGGGGAACUGCGUGUGAUACUGGAUGGCUUGGAUUUGGGAGAGGGAUGCGGAAUUCCAGGUGUAGCGGUGAAAUGCGUAGAUAUCUGGAGGAACACCGGUGGCGAAGGCGGCAUCCUGGACCAAUAUUGACGCUGAGGAGCGAAAGCCAGGGGAGCAAACGGG